AAGCAUAUCAAUAAGCGGAGGAAAAGAAACCAACAGGGAUUGCCUUAGUAACGGCGAGUGAAGCGGCAACAGCUCAAAUUUGAAAUCUGGCCCUUGGGUCCGAAUUGUAAUUUGUAGAGGAUGAUUUUGGUGCGGUAUCUUCCGAGUUCCUUGGAACAGGACGCCUUAGAGGGUGAGAGCCCCGUACGGUUGAAUGCCUAGCCUCUGUAAAUCUCCUUCGACGAGUCGAGUAGUUUGGGAAUGCUGCUCUAAAUGGGAGGUAAAUUUCUUCUAAAGCUAAAUAUUGGCCAGAGACCGAUAGCGCACAAGUAGAGUGAUCGAAAGAUGAAAAGCACUUUGAAAAGAGGGUUAAAUAGCACGUGAAAUUGUUGAAAGGGAAGGAUUUGUGACCAGACUUUUUCUGGGCGGAUCAUCCGGGGUUCUCUCCGGUGCACUUUGCCCAGUAAAGGCCAGCAUCGGUUUUCGGCGGGGGAUAAAAGCAGUAGGAAUGUGGCUCUCUACGGGGAGUGUUAUAGCCUAUUGUAUAAUACCCUGCUGGGGACCGAGGUACGCGCUUCUGCAAGGAUGCUGGCGUAAUGGUUAUCAAUCACCCGUCUUGAAACACGGACCAAGGAGUCGAACAUUUGUGCGAGUGUUUGGGUGUUAAACCCUCACGCGUAAUGAAAGUGAACGGAGGUGAGAGCCCUUACGGGUGCAUCAUCGACCGAUCCUGAAGUUUUCGGAUGGAUUUGAGUAAGAGCAUAACUGUUCGGACCCGAAAGAUGGUGAACUAUGCGUGGAUAGGGUGAAGCCAGAGGAAACUCUGGUGGAGGCUCGCAGCGGUUCUGACGUGCAAAUCGAUCGUCAAAUCUGCGCAUGGGGCGAAAGACUAAUCGAACCAUCUAGUAGCUGG
rnacentral:rRNA from 1 species